AAUUACAACAAUAAAAACAACUAUCGCGUGCAUUGACGGCAGUCGGUAAAAAUAAUGAACUAAUUUUAUAGGCGUCUGCAGCAUGCAACGUGCAUCAUUGUCCUGUCGUAGCUAUCGAAUUAUUUAGAAAAACGUAAUAGAUUAGCCAAGGGACCGUUUUAGACACUUUUAAACACAUAUUAUGUACCCUCGAAUUAAAAUUGGAUCACAAAAACGGCGUUGUUUUCAGUUAGUGCGGUUAAAAGAAUUCAAACGGCCGGAGUUUAGUAAAGUAUAUGAUGCCGCAUUUUGCUUUUCCUGUUGUGCAAGUAUAUUCCGAAUAUGAACUUUACACAGAGAACACUCAAAUAAUAAAUU